AGCGCACCAGGGUUCAUGGCAGGGACGCCUGACUCACCCCAUCACCUGACGCCACGUGAUUGAUCAGCCCUGCAGACCUUUGUGCUGGGUGGGAGAGGAGUGCUGACGUUUACCCCGUGCCCAUGGUGACCGCCGCAGCACCGGGAGUGGUGCUGCCAGUUUCAUUGCUCCGCAGUGUCACCCCUGCCCACCGCACCUUCCUCGCCCAGGCAGGGCUCUGUAUUUAACGGGUGCCCGAGGGCUGGGCCCACUGCUUCGGGAGAGCCACGCCAAGGACGGCCAGCAGGACUGCGGUGCUCUCGGAAGGAACUGAUCUGCGGGGUGGUAGCUUGGAGUCAGUAGAGGAUGUGGAACGCUAGCCAAGGCACACCACCACCACCGCAGAUGCAAGUCUGCCCACCUGCCCCUCCGAAUUGCCAGUACCCUGGGCCCAGCAACCCUUGCUACCCAGCAGUGCCACCUGGCCCCCCUGGGACCUGCCCCCCAGGGCCCCCUCCACCUGGCCCUCACCCACCAGGCCACCACCACCAUGGGCACCACUCACCGGGCCACCACCACCACGGCCACCACGGCCACCACCACCAUGGGCAUCCCCCACAUGGGCCACCAGGAUGCCCACCUGGGUGCCCACCAGGCCACCAUGACUGCCAUCAGAAGCACAAGAAGAAGCACAAGAAGAAGCACUCCAAGUGUUCCCACAAGCACCAUGGAGGCAAGCACUCAGGCAGCUCAAGCAGCUCAAGCAGCUCUGAUUCUGACUGAAGAGAACAUCUCCUGCCUGUGUGGAGGUGAAGCCCCGAGGAGACAAUAAACGAAGACAAAUGCCCCGCA
ensembl:lncRNA